AGCUUUGCACAGUGGAAGUAUUGUAGCCAAUGAGGUUUAUCUUACACUCGAUUAUUGCUAAUUGAAAAUUUUCCCAAUACCCGCUGUGAAUGACUUAAAAUACAAUCAGCAUUGGCAAUUUUGACAUUCUCUAUGGAGA
rnacentral:snRNA from 1 species